GACGAACGCUGGCGGCGCGCUUAACACAUGCAAGUCGAACGGAAAGGCCCUGCUUUUGUGGGGUGCUCGAGUGGCGAACGGGUGAGUAACACGUGAGUAACCUGCCCUUGACUUUGGGAUAACUUCAGGAAACUGGGGCUAAUACCGGAUAGCAGCUCCUGCUGCAUGGUGGGGGUUGGAAAGUUUCGGUGGUUGGGGAUGGACUCGCGGCUUAUCAGCUUGUUGGUGGGGUAGUGGUUUACCAAGGCGUUGACGGGUAGCCGUACUGAGAGGGUGACCGGCCACAGUGGGACUGGGGUAGGACCCAGACUGAAACGGGGGGCAGGGGUGGAAAAUAUUGCACAAUGGGCGGAAGGCGGAUACAGCGACUCCGCGUGCGGGAUGACGGCUGUAGGGUUAGAAACCGCUUUAGCCUGUGACGAAGCGUGAGUGACGGUAAUGUGUAAAGAAGCACCGGCUAACUACGUG
rnacentral:rRNA from 1 species